rnacentral:pre_miRNA from 1 species
GUGAGUCUUUGAGCCAGGAAUAUAUGUUCAUCUUAUUAUUGGUUCAAAUCUCUCGUAG